GAAAUGCGAUAUGUAGUGUGAAUUGCAGAAUUCCGUGAACCAUCGAAUCUUUGAACGCAUAUUGCGCUCGAGCCCUCGGGCAAGAGCAUGUCUGCCUCAGCGUCGGUUUACACCCUCACCCCUCCCACUUUUGUUGGGUGUGUUGGCUUCUAUGCCAGCCAUAGGGGUGGAUCUGGCUUCCCCAAUUCGCUGUAGUGGAUUGGGUUGGCUGAAGUACAGAGGCUUAAGCAAGGACCCGAUAUGGGCUUCAACUGGAUAGGUAGCACCGGCUUUCGCCGACUACACGAAGUUGUUGCUUGUGGAUCUUGCUAGAGGCCAAGCAGGAACGUGCCUUUGGCAUGUCUAAACUUUCGACCUGAGCUCAGGCAAGGCUACCCGCUGAACUUAAGC
rnacentral:misc_RNA from 1 species